rnacentral:rRNA from 1 species
AGAGUUUGAUCCUGGCUCAGGAUGAACGCUAGCGACAGGCUUAACACAUGCAAGUCGAGGGGCAGCGGGGAGCGAAGCUUGCUUUGCUCCGCCGGCGACCGGCGCACGGGUGAGUAACACGUAUGCGACCUGCCCUUUACAGAGGGAUAAUCGGGAGAAAUUCCGUCUAAUACCUCAUAACACAUACCGACCGCAUGAUCGGUAUGUCAAAGGAGCGAUCCGGUAAAGGAUGGGCAUGCGGCGCAUUAGGUAGUUGGUGGUGUAACGGACCACCAAGCCGACGAUGCGUAGGGGUUCUGAGAGGAAGGUCCCCCACACUGGUACUGAGACACGGACCAGACUCCUACGGGAGGCAGCAGUGAGGAAUAUUGGUCAAUGGGCGAGAGCCUGAACCAGCCAAGUCGCGUGAGGGAAGACGGCCCUAAGGGUUGUAAACCUCUUUUGUCGGGGAGCAAGAAAGCGUACGUGUACGCUACUGAGAGUACCCGAAGAAAAAGCAUCGGCUAACUCCGUGCCAGCAGCCGCGGUAAUACGGAGGAUGCGAGCGUUAUCCGGAUUUAUUGGGUUUAAAGGGUGCGUAGGCGGGAUGCCAAGUCAGCGGUAAAAAUGCGGUGCUCAACGCCGUCGAGCCGUUGAAACUGGCGUUCUUGAGUGGGCGAGAAGUAUGCGGAAUGCGUGGUGUAGCGGUGAAAUGCAUAGAUAUCACGCAGAACUCCGAUUGCGAAGGCAGCAUACCGGCGCCCUACUGACGCUGAGGCACGAAAGCGUGGGUAUCGAACAGGAUUAGAUACCCUGGUAGUCCACGCAGUAAACGAUGAAUACUAAUUGUUCGGGUCGAAUGAGGCCUGAGUGAUACAGCGAAAGCGUUAAGUAUUCCACCUGGGGAGUACGCCGGCAACGGUGAAACUCAAAGGAAUUGACGGGGGCCCGCACAAGCGGAGGAACAUGUGGUUUAA